UACGUAGGGGGCAAGCGUUGUCCGGAUUUAUUGGGCGUAAAGAGCGUGUAGGCGGCCAGAUAGGUCCGUUGUGAAAACUCGAGGCUCAACCUCGAGACGCCGAUGGAAACCAUCUGGCUAGAGUCCGGAAGAGGAGAGUGGAAUUCCCGGUGUAGCGGUGAAAUGACGCAGAUAUCGGGAAGAACACCCGUGGCUAGGGCGGCUCUCUAGUACGGUACUGACGCUGAGGCGCGAAAGCUAGGGGAGCAAACGGG
rnacentral:rRNA from 1 species